CCAGGGCACUGCCCAUUCCCAGAAGGCAGCCUGCCCCAGGGGCCAUUCACCCGGCCAGGCGGGCGGUCCAAGGGGCGGGCCCAGCCCGGGAACCAGGAGUGAAGGAGGAAAGACAUGGCGCCCCUGCCCUCGAGGUGUCCGAGCACAGGUAAAUGCACUCUCUGGCAAAAACCUUAAAAAGAGAGAGAGAGGAGAGGAGACUGAAGAGGAGACACAUGGAGAAGACCUGUGACUGCGGAGACCAACGCGGCCACAGCUGGGCCAGCCUGGGGCCUCCAGAGGCUGCCAGAGCAGAGGACGGUUCUCCCGAGAGACUUUAGAAGGCGUGGCCUUGACUGAACUUUGGUGUCUGACGUCUGGCCUCUAGAACUUGAGAGAAUCAACUCCUGUUGUUGUUGCUCUUGCUUUUUAAACUUACUAUUAUUAUUAUUUUUAAAUUUUCUAUA